rnacentral:rRNA from 1 species
GUCUACAGCCAUGCCACCCUGAAUGUGCCCAAUCUCAUCUGAUCUCAGAAACUAAGAAGGGUCGGGCCUGGUUCGUAUUUGGAUGGGAGACAGACCAUCAAGGAAGACCAGGUGCUGUAGGUG